GCGAGAGUAGCUCAGUUGGUAGAGCGUCAGCCUUCCAAGCUGAAUGUCGCCGGUUCGAACCCGGUCUCUCGCU
rfam:Formosa sp. Hel1_31_208 genome assembly, chromosome: I